CUUCUUCUUUCGUCCUUCCCUGAGCUGACCGGGGAGUAAAAUAAAAAUAGUUGGCUGUCCCAUCAACAGGGGGUGUAACCCUCCCGCUGGUGGGAUGCCACUCGUACGUCACUAGCUCUCUGACGUAGGGGUGGCAUCUUUUGUCCGCUGUUGCUAUGUCUUCUAUCCAUCUAUCUUUCUUUCCGAUCUGUCGACCGAAGGUCCGGUCCAGCAAAGAAUAGACCCCAAAUCCCCGCAACGCGAGGCACCCCGUUGACCGUGGGGUGCGACCCGGCCUACUGCACUCAAUCGGUUGCGACUGGUUCAUAUUCCCUCCAAAUUAUCUUCUAUCUUUAAGAGAACUAAUAAACCUCAGAGACCAGCUCCCACAACCCUUCAUCAUGUUGGGAGAUUUUAAUGCCCAUAGCCCUCUUUGGGGAAAUGAACCAACUGAUACUAAAGGUAAAAUCAUAUAAGAUUUCUUAAUAAAAACCAAUACUAGUAUUUUUAACGACAAUUCCCCAACAUUUCAAAAUUCAAAUAACCUAAACUUUUCAUCCAUAGAUUUAACCCUUUGUGAUCCUGACCUAAUUCCAGACUUUCAGUGGUCGGUCCUGGACGACCCACACGGAUCGGACCACUUCCCCAUCAACCUAAUUCCAGAUAUUCCACACCGAACUCCUAUCCCAGACCGUUUCAAUCUUAAAAGAGCGGACUGGGAUGGGCUUCACAUGGAAUGUCUGGAGAAACUCAAUCCAUCUCAAACACAAACACAAACUUUUGAACGAUUUCACGAAACCCUUCUCGAGAUCGUUCAAAAACACAUACCAAAAUUAUCCACCAAACCCCGAAAAAAUAAAUGUUGGUUCACUGAAGACUGCCAAAAAGCUGUUGCGGCCAAAAAAUCAGCUCUCAGGAAGUUCGUCAACUCUAAAACUAACGAAGACCGCAUUAAUUUCAAAAUUGCGCAAGCCCAAGCACGCAGAAAAAUCAGAACAGCCAAGAAAAUAUCUUUUCGAAAUUAUGUCUCAAAAAUCAACAACACACCAAUGCACAAAGUCUGGAAGAUGAUAAAGAAAUUAAAAGGUACUAAAAAAGACACAAUCAAACACAUCCUUAAACCGAAUAACUCCUUCGUAGAGACCGAAAAAACAGUUGCUGACUGUAUAGCAUCAACUCUCUCCGGAAAUUCCUCUACCCACAAUUACAACCCUGAAUUCAAAAAAGUAAAAAUGUCUUCUGAAAAGACAACUGUUGAUUUUACCUCUUCAAAUGAAGAACACUAUAAUUGCAGCUUUUCUCUUAACGAAUUAAAAUGUAAUAUUGCAGAACUAUCAAACACAGCUCCAGGCCCUGAUCAAAUACACAACGAAAUCAUCAAACGUCUUCCAGACGAAACACUCC